UACGUAGGUGGCAAGCGUUGUCCGGACUUACUGGGUGUAAAGGGCGUGUAGCCGGGCUGACAAGUCAGAUGUGAAAUCCGGGGGCUCAACCCCUGAACUGCAUUUGAAACUGUUGGUCUUGAGUAUCGGAGAGGCAGGCGGAAUUCCUAGUGUAGCGGUGAAAUGCGUAGAUAUUAGGAGGAACACCAGUGGCGAAGGCGGCCUGCUGGACGACAACUGACGGUGAGGCGCGAAAGCGUGGGGAGCAAACAGG
rnacentral:rRNA from 1 species